rnacentral:rRNA from 1 species
CUACGGGGCGCAGCAGUGGGGAAUCUUAGACAAUGGGCGCAAGCCUGAUCUAGCCAUGCCGCGUGAGUGACGAAGGCCUUAGGGUCGUAAAGCUCUUUCGCUGGGGAAGGUAAUGACGGUACCCAGUAAAGAAACCCCGGCUAACUCCGUGCCAGCAGCCGCGGUAAUACGGAGGGGGUUAGCGUUGUUCGGAAUUACUGGGCGUAAAGCGCGCGUAGGCGGAUCAGAAAGUUGGGGGUGAAAUCCCGGGGCUCAACCCCGGAACUGCCUUCAAAACUCCUGGUCUUGAGUUCGAGAGAGGUGAGUGGGAUUCCGAGUGUAGAGGUGAAAUUCGUAGAUAUUCGGAGGAACACCAGUGGCGAAGGCGGCUCACUGGCUCGAUACUGACGCUGAGGUGCGAAAGCGUGGGGAGCAAACAGGAUUAGAUACCCCCGUAGUC